GUUAAUUACUUUGCUUUGCCUCCCCACUUAAUUACAUUUCCUUGCAAGUUCUACGUCACAAACGAUCGUGUAGUGUAAUAGUGGGAACAGAACGUUUGUGCAAUGUUCCUCUCCUAUUUUAAUUUACGCGUUACUUUACUUGCCACUUUGACUCAUGUAACAUUUUUACAGCGUCAACAAGACCAGGUUCCGUCACAUUGACAGCACUACCCGGAAGCAGUUCAGUACAACAGGUUGCAGCUCCCGAACCUGCUAUCACUGUACGUCAUUCCGCAACAUCUACCUUGGCCCCUGCACUCGUGUGCACAACAAAUCGGGAACAACAAACAGAACUGUUUUGCAGAGGUGCCCGUGCAUCUCAAUCUACUGCAGCCACAUCGUCUACAAUGUCUGUACCAGUCAUGUCUGUACCAGAUGAGCCACAGCAAAGGGCAAGAUGUCAUACACCUGCGCGUUUACUUCCCUCUGCAUGAGCCACGUUGUAUCCAAUGUCUGCUACGUCUGUACCAGUAUGCACAACAGAUGAGCUACAGGAAAGGGCAAGAUGCAAUACAGGUAUGCU